CCCUACUGCCGGUUACUAACAGGUAAAGCUGAGGACUCAGGCGGAACUGCCGGUGACAAACCGGAGGAAGGUGGGGAUGACGUCAAGUCAUCAUGGCCCUUAUGUCCAGGGCUACACACGUGCUACAAUGGUUGAAACAGAGUGAAGCGAAGCCGGGAGGUGGAGCAAAACGCAGAAAAGCAAUCGUACUCCGGAUUGGAGUCUGAAACCCGACUCCAUGAAGUUGGAAUCGCUAGUAAUCGCACAUCAGCACGGUGCGGUGAAUACGUUCCCGGGCCUUGUACACACCGCCCGUCACACCAUCCGAGUAGAGGGUACCCGAAGCCGGUAGUUUAACCGUAAGGAGGACGCUGUCGAAGGUACGCUUUGUAAG
rnacentral:rRNA from 1 species